rnacentral:rRNA from 1 species
AUUGAACGCUGGCGGCAGGCUUAACACAUGCAAGUCGAACGAGUGGCGGACGGGUGAGUAAUGCUUGGGAUUCUAGCUUAUGGAGGGGGAUAACUACCCGAAAGUGUGGCUAAUACUGGCUGCUAAGAGAUGAUCCUAUGUGGGAUUAGCUAGUUGGUGGGGUAAUGGGUCACCAAGGCGACGAUCUCUAGCUGGUUUGAGAGGAUGAUCAGCCACACUGGGACUGAGAAACGGCCCAGACGCCUACGGGAGGCAGCAGUGGGGAAUAUUGGAGAAUGGGCGAAAGACUGAUCCAGCAAUACGGCGUGUGGGAAGAAGGACCUAGGGUUGUAAAGCACUUUUGUUAGGGAGAUGUUACCUAAAGAAUAAGCACCGGCUAACUCCGUGCCAGCAGCCGCGGUAAUUC